rnacentral:rRNA from 1 species
UACGUAGGGUGCAAGCGUUGUCCGGAAUUAUUGGGCGUAAAGAGCUCGUAGGCGGUUUUUCGCGUCUGCUGUGAAAACUCGGGGCUUAACCCCGGGCCUGCAGUGGAUACGGGCAGGCUAGAGUGCGGUAGGGGAGACUGGAAUUCCUGGUGUAGCGGUGAAAUGCGCAGAUAUCAGGAGGAACACCGGAGGCGAAGGCGGGUCGCUGGGCCGUAACUGACGCUGAGGAGCGAAAGCGUGGGGAGCGAACAGG